rnacentral:ncRNA from 1 species
UCCUCACUUAUUACUCCCGCUAACCGAGACCUAUGGGAGAAUAAAUUACGUCUCUUUUUUACCCUUCAUAUACCGCACUUA